GCAUUAGCUCAGUGGUAGAACAUCUGCUUUGCAUGCAGAAGGUCACAGGUUCCGUACCCCAAAUCUCGACGUAGGAUUAGGCA